rnacentral:rRNA from 1 species
AUUGAACGCUGGCGGCAUGCCUUACACAUGCAAGUCGAACGGCAGCGCGGGCUUCGGCCUGGCGGCGAGUGGCGGACGGGUGAGUAAUGCAUCGGAACGUGCCCAGGAGUGGGGGAUAACGUAGCGAAAGUUACGCUAAUACCGCAUACGUACUGAGGUAGAAAGCGGGGGAUCGAAAGACCUCGCGCUCAUGGAGCGGCCGAUGUCGGAUUAGCUAGUUGGUGGGGUAAAAGCUCACCAAGGCGACGAUCCGUAGCUGGUCUGAGAGGACGACCAGCCACACUGGGACUGAGACACGGCCCAGACUCCUACGGGAGGCAGCAGUGGGGAAUCUUGGACAAUGGGGGAAACCCUGAUCCAGCAAUGCCGCGUGUGGGAUGAAGGCCCUCGGGUUGUAAACCACUUUUGGCAGGAAAGAAAUCGCCUGUGCUAAUACCACGGGCGGAUGACGGUACCUGCAGAAUAAGCACCGGCUAACUACGUGCCAGCAGCCGCAGUAA